GAAUCCUCUGGGCGGACUGCGCUGACCACACCUGUUUACCUCUUAACGGUUUCACGCCCUCUUGAACUCUCUUCAAAGUUCUUUUCCACUUUUCCUUACUGUACUUGUUGGGUAUCGGUCUCGUGCCGGUAUUUAGCCUUAAAUGGAGUUUACCACCCGCUUUGGGCUGCAUUCCCAAGCAACCCAACUCAGGAAGAUCUGCCUGGGCCCGCUACCGGCCUCACGCCAUCCAAGGGCAGGGCCUCCAUCAGAAGGACUUGGGCCCCCACGAGCGGCGCCAGGGAGUGGGUCUUCCAUACGCCACAUUUCACCAGCCACGGCAUGCGGCGGGGAUUCGGCGCUGGGCUCUCCCCUGUUCAUUCACCAUUACUGAGGGAAUACUGGACUAAACACUGUGAAAAGCAAGUCCAGGCAGACCCGCCCUGCCGCUAGAACUAACAGACCAUAAAAGGAAAGGAAUGCAGAACAGACCAGGAGUACAGGACCUGACUCACAGGCCACCUGGCAGGAAGAGAUAAGCCCCGAGCCCCGGACAUCCAGGACGCCCCAAACCUGCCAAUGUGUGUAGCUAUACCUUAUUACCUCAUCAUGUGAAAUAGCCAAUCAUAUGUGAACAUGUCUAUGUGCCUCGUUUGAAUCCACCAAUCCCUGUAACUAUGCAUCUGCUUCUGUACGCCUGCUUCUGCUUCCCCAAUCCCUAUAAAAGCCCCAUGCUGGAGCUGCUGGGCGCGCAAGUCCUCCAAAGAGACUGUGUGCCCGCAGGUACCUGUGUUUUCCAAUAAACCCUCUUGCUGAUUGCAUCCGAGUGGACUCGGCUCAGUCAUUGGGCGCUUGGGACUCCUCCUGAGGGAAAGGUCCUCUCCGGGGGUCUUUCAUUAUGGGGGCUCACCCCGGGAUUUGGAGACCCUCCGCCCAGAGAUCACCGACCACCCACCGGGAGGUAAGCCGGCCGGCGUUUGUCUUGUCUGUUGUGUCUUGUCCUGUGAACGAUCGAUCAAUAGGCUCAGAUCUGGGGACUAUCUGGGCGGACCAGAGAAGGAGCUGACGAGCUCGGACUUCUCCCCCGCAGCCCUGGAAGACGUUCCAAGGGUGGUUGGAGGAGAGGGAGAUCCGGAUCCGUGGCACCUCCGUCCGUUUUCGGAGGGAUCCACACCCUUGAUGACUCCGUCUGAAUUUUAUUGGAGUAGAGGAUCCAAGACCCUCGCUGACUCCGUCUGAAUUUUUGGUUUCAGUUUGGUACCGAAGCCGCGCGGCACAUCUGCUUGUUACUUGUUUGACUGUUGGAAUUGUUUGUCUUCUUUGUGACCUGACUGUGGUUUUCUGGACGUGUUGUGUCUCUUAGUGUCUUUUUGACUUUUGUUUCGUGUUUGAAUUUGGACUGACGACUGUGUUUAAAAUCUUGGACCGGCGACUGUGUUUGAAAUCAUGAAACUGUUUGCUUUGUUCGUCGAAGAGUUUUACUUGGUCCCCUUAACGCUUAGUGAGUAAGAAACUUAAUUUUGUGGACCCCGCUCUAGUGGCGGUGUGUUGGUUGAUAGCCAAAGUUAAUUUUUAAAACAUAGUGUUUUGGGGGUUGGGGAUUUAGCUCAGUGGUAGAGCUCUUGCCUAGCAAGCACAAGGCCCUGGGUUCGGUCCCCAGCUCUGAAAAAAGGAAAGAAAAACAAAACAAAAACAUAGUGUUUUAUCUGUGCUUGUGCUUGCAGCCCGCUGUGAUGAACUGGGAAAGAUUUAAAUUUUCCUUGGGAGUAAGGAAUCUUAAAGGCAGAGUUUCAGCCGGUAUGGCACCUAGUGCGUAGCUGUCUAAAAGAUCAGAAAUGCUGUCAACAGGCUAUAAAAAAAGGGACAGGCAGUGUUAGAAAUGCUAAGGGAAGAACUAUCUAAAAAGAGCGAGGUGGGAGAGGACUAUAAGGAAAACAAGAAAGGAAUUUCUGACAUUUGCUCACAGAAGGAGAGCGCUCAUUAAGAGAAGUUCUUUAAGGAAGCCUGCCUUAUCUGCUAUCCUUAUUCCAAGGGAGGAGUCAGUCUCCAACAUUAAAUUACUUUUCUCGCUGAUCAUCAUUAACAUGGAGAGUGCCUUUGGUCCUAUCCCCACAGCAGCCAGUUCCUGCCCCUAUGGUUAAAACGCCCCAGGUUGGGGGACAAAAAGAGCCCCUAAAAUAGUUUCAAAGAAUCUACAACUGUGAAGAACUUUGUUUUGCCAGUCAGGAUUAGUGUUUUCUUUUCCAUGGGCCUAUAGCCCACUGAGACAGUUUGGUAAAGGGCUGUUACUAAAGUCCUGAAAGCCCCAGGUGAACUGGUUACAAUUCUUUUGUCAGCUGCUUAGUAUCUAGCACCCAGGUUCUAACCAUCUCUCCAUCCUUUUGUUAUUAGUUGUUACUAGAAGUCUAGUGUCAUUUGGAGGCUGGUUCUCUUGAGAGGCAAAGCCACCAAGCUGACACUGAAGGGAGGUAGGUACUCCUUAAGGGAAAAUCUAAGCCCAGAGAGACAGCCGGUAACAGCUAGGCUGCCUCUCUGCUCGCCUUUCUGUUUCAUAGACAAAGCUUGUGCUUAUAUUUACAGUGGCCUUUUUGUCCAAAAAAAGGCCUCCUGGUUUAGCUGUGUGACUAAAUGCUAUUUGUCCUCUUCAGUGGACCUCUCUCCUCUAGAUUCCCUUCUUGUUUUCUCACCAUCCCACGUGAGAUGCUUGUUAGUAACUGUUACAGAUCUUCUUUACCACCAAGGAAAGACAGAAUCCUGCUAGAGGCCAGAAAGAAUGUUCCAGACAUGGAUGGAAGGCUCCUGACUGUUGACUUCAAUACGCCUGAAGGUAGGGAGUGCUCCAGGUCUGCCCCCAGGCUCCAAGGGUGGGUCUCCUAGGGGCUGGAAAAAUGCCCCACCAAUCUGGCUAAGAUAAGGAAAGGGUAUGAAGAGAAAGUUACAGAAAUUUGAAGGGUUAAGCUAAGUUGCUGAGAGUUAGUAUAAGUUACAGAGAAAGUAAGGUUAAACAAAGAGAAAGAGAAAAGAAGGUAAAAAGAGCAGAAAGCUAGGGAAGAAAAGAGACAAAAAGAAGAGGAAGCUAGAGAGCUAAAGAGAGAUAAAAGACAAGAGAGGAACAUAUACUGGCCACAGUAGUUAGGGAACCUAGGAAGACAGUACCUGGCAACAAAAGAGAAUUCCUGGCUAAAAUCAGUGUGCCUAAUGCAAAGAAAAAAAAGACACUGGGUCAGGGACUGCCCCAGAAAGAACAAGAGGGGACACUGGAGAGCCUCUCGGUCCUGGAGUGCUGGCUAUGUGCAGAGAUAGGAGGGAAGCCUGCCCAGUUGUUUUAUGGAUACAGGGACCCAAUGCUCUGUGCUCCUAUGCUCCAGUGGGCCAGUAUCCAAAGACCUUGGGUACAGGGGCCUACUGGCAACAAACAAUACUUCUGGACUGCCCAAAGAACAGUGGACCUUGGCGUGGGCCGGGUAACCCACUAGUUCAUAGUCAUCCCUGACUGCCCCCAUCCCUUGCCCAUGAGAAAAUUGCUCCCCAAAAUGGCUUGCGUGGGCUGAAAUGGCUGGGUGAGGCCAUGUGUAUGCAUAUCUACAGACUGUGUAUGCAGAGCUUAAGACCUGUCUCAGUGCACCAGUACCUGAUGCUGGGAGAUGAAUGGCUUAGCGCUGUUCUACUUGGAACAUAUCACUCCUGCCAGCUGGGCACUAACAAUUAUCACCCAAUCCAGGACUUAGACUGUGAUAGAGUGGCUGAUGUUUGCCUUUGAAUAGAGUGUCCCAAAAGAUGGGACCACUGGUCAGCUGCCAUGGACUAGAUUCUCCACCUGUUGGGGGCAAUCUGGUCACCUUGCUGCCCAAUCCGACCUGGAGCCACCACAGCACGAGUGUCAAGCACUGGCAGAAGCCCAUGGGUGGAGGAAAGACCUCUGCGACUGGCUGAUUGACCCCUGCUGAAAGCCGAGGCUACCUUGUCCACAGACGGGAACAGUUCUCUUCAUGAAGGUCAGAGAUAAGUGGGUGCUGCCAUGGUGGACAACACAAAGUCAUCUAGGAUGGCUGAACCUCAACCCCCCAGUACAUCAGUGUCGCAGAUGCCUUUGCCAUCUCUUGGAUACCCUGGUGAAGCCAACAACUGUGAGUACUAUUCAUUGCUCAGGAUAUCAGGAGGGAAGAGAUUCAGUGGCAUUGGGCAGUAACAAAGCAGAUAAAGUGGCUCGGGAAAUGGCUAUGCAGGAGCCUAUCCUGGUUGCAGGCCUGCCAGAGACAGUCACUGAGAACUAGGAUCGGACUAAGGGAUGGCCUCACUUAGAAAAGGCCCAAACUGGGGCUGGAGAGAUGGCUCAGAGGUUAAGAGCACUGUCUGCUCUUCCAGAGGUCCUGAGUUCAAUUCCCAGCAACCACAUGGUGGCUCACAACCAUCUAUAAUCAGGUCUGGUGCCCUCUUCUGGCCUGCAGGUGCAUACAUGCAGGCAGAAAGCUGUAUGAUGUAUACAUAAUAAGUAAAUAAAUGUUUAAAAAAAAAAAAAAGAAAAGGCCCAAAUUGCUUAAAAGAUAAAGGACAAUGGCACACUUGAGGGGAAAGCUAUACUCCCCCAGAGAACAAAGAAAAGACUCACUUUGCCAAAUACAGAAAUGGACUCAUUUAGGAGAUAAAAAGUUUGUCCAAGUAGUUAAGUGUAUGUAAUAGACUUUAAGAUUUUAGCCAGAGAGGCAGUAGAAAGUAUAAGGUAUGUCAAUAAGUGAAUGCUUAGCAAGCAAACAGGGCAAAGAGACCUAGAGAGUUUGGUGAAAAGUCGAAGUGAACUUCACUGAGAUAAAACCAGAAAAAUAUAAUCACAAGUAUCUCCUAGUGCUUGUAGAUACUUUUUCAGGAAUAGAUAGAAGCUUUCCUCACCAAACGAGAGACGGCCUCUGCAAUCAUCAAGAAGAUACUGGAAGAAAUCUUCCCCCGAUUUGGAAUGCCCAAGGUAAUCUGGUCAGACAACAGCCCUACUUUCCUUGCCAAGGUAAGCCAGGGUGUGGCCAAGUAUUUAGAGGUCGAUUGGAAAUUACAUUGUAUUUACAGACCUCAAAGUUCAGGACAGGUAGAGUAAAUAAAUAGAACUCUAAAAGAGACCCUGACCAAAUUGACCAUGGAGACUGGCACAGACUGGGUGACACUCCUUCCCUCUUGCUCUCUUCAGAGCAAGAAAUACCCCUUCCAGAUUCAGCCUUACCCCCUUUGAGAUCUUAAAUGGGGCCUCAGCCCCCCUGACUGUAUUAGAUGAUGUUACUGAACCAACAUGUCAUAGUGCCAUAGUAAUAAUGAUUUGUGUGCCAGGCUAAAAGACCUACAGGUGAUACAGAAAGAAAUCUGCUCAGAGCUGGCAGCAGCCUAUGCCCUGGGGACCCCUGAGACAUCUCACCAGUUCCAGGUCGGAGACUCGGCUACAUACGAUGGCACCGAACCCAGAUACUCACUGGAAAGGACCGUACCUGGUGCUGCUGACCACCCUGACAGCCAUCAACUCUCAGCCCUCACCAGCCGUGUACUAGCUAUUGGGGCUGAAAGCUGGGACCUAGAGGGAAACUCAGAUCUUCAAAAAGCUCCCUAGACUUAAUUUCAUGUUUGCCCCGGGUUUUAUCAAGAUAGGUGUGGGGAUAGGCUUGAUUUCUAUUACAAAUGAUGUAACAUUGCAUAUGUUAGUACUCCUAACACUUCUUGGGACUGUGCCUCAGGGAUCACAAUCUGUAUAAGUUUAGAAGUUCUAAAAGCUAGUCAUGACCUUGGUGUGUAGGUUUAGAUAGUGUCCAGAUUGGAAUCCUGAUGCUAAAGACUUAGUAAGACAAAAAAAAGGAGUUGAGAAUUACUUAGGGCUAAGGCUAUCUAGGUGCUGCAAGGGCAGCACAAGGACAUCUGCUGUUGCAAUGCAAGGCUUAUAGAGAAUUGAGAACUGCCAUUCAGGAGUAAUUAAAGACUCCAUGAAUAAACUUAGAGAAAGGUUAGACAAAAGGCAGACAGAGAAGCACAUCAGGGAUGGUUUGAGAGCUGCUUUAGUAGAUCUCCUUGGAUGACUACUCUGGUAUUUUCCCUUAUGGGACCCUUCUUAGUUUUGCUUCUGCUUCUGAUUAUAGGUCCAUGUGUGUUAGAGAAACUAGUUAAUAGGUUUGACUCCUACAAAAAGAUAGAGACGCUCAACAAGGUUGGUUUGAGUCUUGGUUCACUCGGUCUCCCUGGAUGACUACCCUACUCUCUGCUAUAUGGCUGGGCCAUUACUAAUAAUUUUCUUGGUUUUAGUUUUUGGACCCUGCGUGACAAACAGGUUAAUUGCUUUUGUUAAAAAUCGAGUGGGUGCUGUGCGGUUGAUGGUUCUGAGACAACAGUACCAGUCAGUUAGGACAACUGGCGAGGUCAAAUGAGAAACUUAACACUAAAAUCCUAAGGUUAGAAUUUGGUAGUAGAAGGAGAGGGGAAUGAGAGAUAAAAUUUUAAAUUAACUCAAAACACAGUAACAAGAUCUGACUGAGGAAGACAGAUGGCUAAAAUUGCAGAAGAACUGAUACUGACACAGUUGUUUUAUCACCAGUGUGAGCAGUCGUUCUGUCUCAGUGAUGUUUGUUUAAGCCCCUUAUACCUUGCAGAGAGCAUUCCAGGAAACCUGCCGGCCCAAAGCCUAACCAGAUGUGUUUCAGAUGCAGAUGCUUCAUCAACUCCGACCCACAUUUACUCUGACAGGACAAGAGAUAAGAUUUGCUCUCGGAAUAAUGAGGACUCAAAGACCCGACCCUUCUCCUGAUUUAGUAGCUUUGUUCCAGAAAUGGGGGGCCAUAAAACCUUUUGGCGUUCCCCUCAUCUCCUGGGGCCAUAAAACCUUUUGGCGCCCUGGUGCCCCCUUAUCCUCUAGAGUCAUAAAACAAUUAGACAUCUUACAACUCUGUGAUAUCUCUGGCAUUCCUUUCUGAUAUCCCCUUUUUUCCCUGAGGCUCGAGGCCUCUCCCCUUUAAAAAGCCCCUCUCCCAACCACUCGGGAUCAACAUCCCUGUCUCCUGCAUGGGACACAUGUUGAUCCGGAGAUCUCUGUAAUAAACCUCACCUUUUGUGUAUUACAUUCAA